rnacentral:tRNA from 1 species
AAAAAGGUAAGCUAACUAAGCUAUCGGGUUCAUACCCCUCUCAUGAAAGUAGAAUCUUUCCCUCUUUA